ensembl:lncRNA
CUCGGCUGUCCUAGAGAAGAAUGUCGGAGUAGGUGUUGAUUGCCUCCCACGAUCGCAAAACAACUUUUUUAAGAAAGAGUUUCGCGCUAUCCCCUCUUAAAACGCGGCGGUUCUUAUUUUCCUUUUAAAGCAGACUUCAAGACUUUUAGGAACUUCAAGUUAGGGACUGGACGCUUCCAAAACGAUGAAUCAUCCCAGGAGAGAAAACAUAUCUGGGAAGUUGUAGUGGUGUAAAUAAGAAUGGAGAGUAUUUGCAAGGAGAGGGAGGGAGGGAGAGAGAAAGAACAAGGAGAGAUGGAAGAGGUUGCUGGUUUUCCGAGUAAGGCAAAUAGUUCAGUAUGCAACCCAUUUCCACCCUCACCCCAGCCCACCCCCAUCCAAAACUCUUUAAGCCCUGAAGGUGGGCGAGUUGGGGAGGUGAAGGGAGUGAAGAAGACUUAGCUAUUGACCAGGGUUGGGUGGGAGGUAAUCCUUUAUGCUUUAUUUCACUUUUAUUUUUUUGACAAAACUCUUGCUUCAGAACAUCUGCAUUUUUGGAAUGUUUUGCUGAAACCCUUCUGGGAGUUCGUGGCCCUGCAGUAAACCUUUCUCUGCUCCAAGUCCGUUUUGGUUUGUUUGAUCUCACUGUGCAUCAGGCACCUGAACAUGUCCUACAGCUCCAGGAGUUGGUGAUGGACAGGGAACCCUGCUGUGCUGCAGUCCGUGGGGUCGCAAAGAGUCGGACACGACUGAGCGACUGAACUGAAAUGAACAGAUUCACCAGGUGAAAGUAAUCCAGGCGUCCUUGCCUUUGGUUCGGGCCAUUUUCCAGCCCAAGAGAGGUCCUUUGCUUCCUUCGUUCCCAGAACCAUCUGCUGACCAAUCUGAGGUUAAACAAACCAUUCGUUCAGCUUCCCUCUGCCAACUGGCUACAGAGAGACAGAUUGAAGUUCAGUGAUGAAUACAAUUCCUCAUUGAGAGGAUACUGGCUCAUCAGCAUGCUCCAAUGGCAUGCCUCACGUUCAGAAGAACAAAGAUGAGAGCAGCUAUGGAAAGCAAUUGAUAUUCCUGCCCAGGUUGGAGUUGAUGUGCAAAUGGAUAAACACAAUGUUACCAUUCUGAGGAAGCUAUAUGGAAUCACACCAGCAGGGGUUUGAUACUGAAUUUCCUUCUGUUUUUAGCUCUGUUGUCAUUUCAGAAGCUGAGAAACCAAGAAUCUCCUAGAGAUGUAUUAAGGGAUUCCAACCCCCAACAGAGAACUAUGCAACAAUUAGCAAUCACAGAAAAAGUAAACAAUAAAGCAUGUAACAAUACAAGGGGGGGGGUAUUACAAAAUGGAUUUAUAAAUGUGGGGUGGUAUUAGUUUAGUAUGACUUUGUUACUCACUAUUAUUAACAUAGUGCUUACGGACCUUUUUAGAUAGUGUAUAAAAUGAACUAGUCUAGAGCUAAAUAGCUAAUAGUUUCUGUUUUUAAUUAAGCUCUGUCUUAAUAUCUCCCCAGGGGUCUAAUACACUGGAAUCCAUUUUUGAGGGGAGAGAGGAGCUUAAGGCUACUUCUAAG